CCGAACCGAAUGCGGUUUUCGAUGCGCUUCUCGAGCCACAACACUUCCACUUCCGUGAGAUCGCUCAUGCGGCGGCUCCCGGACGCUGGGGCUGGCAGCCGUGAGCUUGGGGCUCGGUCGAGAGUGUGUAUCGCCUGCAAAGGCAGGCUGGCCUGUCGGACUGCCGUUGCCGAGCGCCAUCGACGCCGCUUUCGGCCUGCUCCGUUAGAAGAAAUCCGAAGGAUUUCCGGUUAGUAAAGUUAGAGCGGCUGGAAAGCGCGGAGAAACAAGCUCUUAAGCUCGAUUCCGGUCCCCGAUAGCACGAGGAUCGGGGCCCCGAUA
rnacentral:misc_RNA from 1 species